UACGUAGGGUGCAAGCGUUUAAUCGGAAUUACUGGGCGUAAAGCGUGCGCAGGCGGUUUUGUAAGUCUGUCGUGAAAUCCCCCGGGCUCAACCUGGGAAUUGCGAUGGAGACUGCAAGGCUAGAAUCUGGCAGAGGGGGGUAGAAUUCCACGUGUAGCAGUGAAAUGCGUAGAGAUGCGGAGGAACACCGAUGGCGAAGGCAGCCCCCUGGGCUGAC
rnacentral:rRNA from 1 species